AGCGAACGCUGGCGGCAGGCCUAACACAUGCAAGUCGAACGAAGUCUUCGGACUUAGUGGCGGACGGGUGAGUAACACGUGGGAACGUACCUUUUGGUUCGGAACAACUCAGGGAAACUUGAGCUAAUACCGGAUGAGCCCUUAGGGGGAAAGAUUUAUCGCCGAAAGAGCGGCCCGCGUUAGAUUAGCUUGUUGGUGAGGUAAAGGCUCACCAAGGCUACGAUCUAUAGCUGGUCUGAGAGGAUGAUCAGCCACACUGGGACUGAGACACGGCCCAGACUCCUACGGGAGGCAGCAGUGGGGAAUCUUGCGCAAUGGGCGAAAGCCUGACGCAGCCAUGCCGCGUGAAUGAUGAAGGUCUUAGGAUUGUAAAAUUCUUUUACCAGGGACGAUAAUGACGGUACCUGGAGAAAAAGUCCCGGCUAACUUCGUGCCAGCCGCCGCGGUAAAAC
rnacentral:rRNA from 1 species